AACGAACGCUGGCGGCGUGCCUAACACAUGCAAGUCGAGCGCGAAAGGAGCAAUCCGAGUAGAGCGGCGCACGGGUGCGUAACACGUGGGUAAUCUGCCUCAGGGUUGAGGAUAACCUUCCGAAAGGUUGGCUAAUACUCGGUAAGCUUACGGUGUCUUCGGACGCUGUGGAAAAGUAGGCCUCUGCUUACAAGCUUACGCCCUGAGAUGAGCCCGCGGCCCAUCAGCUAGUUGGCGGUGUAACGGACCACCAAGGCAACGACGGGUAGCUGGUCUGAGAGGACGAUCAGCCACACUGGAACUGAGACACGGUCCAGACUCCUACGGGAGGCAGCAGUGGGGAAUUUUCCGCAAUGGGCGAAAGCCUGAUGGAGCAACGCCGCGUGUGUGAUGAAGGUUUUCGGAUCGUAAAGCACUUUCGACUGGGACGAAAAACCUUUGGUUAACAACCAGGGGCCUGACGGUACCAGGAGAAGAAGCACCGGCUAACUCUGUGCCAGCCGCCGCGUAAAAC
rnacentral:rRNA from 1 species